GUUACCUAAUUGGCCAUCCGCAGCACACGCACACGCAGUUGAUUGCUGCGUUUAGUGUGCGCGAGCCUCAAUUUCAACCAAACCGCUCUCUCGCUUCCAGCUUGUAUUCAUGUCUGUCAGGUGUCGUGGCAAGGAUCUAGUAAAAACGCUCUUUAACCUUUCAGCGAUGUCCAUUACAUUAGACUAGAUCGGGGUGAGAACAAUGCCGCCUCCUGAGGACCGUCAACACGCUUAAUACGAUACUGUUUUGCUCCCUGAAAAAUAACGAGUAGGAACAUGUUACUACGAGACAACUGCAGAAAUGCGGACAGUCUUUAAAAACCAAAACACGGAUUUGGAUUGCCAUGAUAGGCAACGGUAUGGACGUUCUGUGGAAGAUUUUUGCUGCUUUAAGCUUCGAUUGUUUUAAAGGUUCACCGUCAAAGAGGUCUUCAACAAAGCUGGGUUUGAGCCGGCCAGCCAGCAUGGAGAGCAGCUCUCUGACAGGCAGCAUCUCUCUGAGCUCAGACUUGCCCCACUGCCAGUGCUGCAUCUCCUCCGAGACCCGCCUGAAGCGUCUCUCCUGCGGACACCUCUACUGCACACCUUGCUCAGACCACAUCGUCAACCUGGCCUUCGAGGACAUCGAGGGCCUAUCCGAGUACCCGUGCCCCAUAUGCAAGUCCUACCGGCACCUGGGCGGCCUGGUACCCACCCAGAGCUGCAUUAGCGCGACCCACUGCUGUCCUUUUGAUCCACACAAGCACCAGGUGGCAGAUGACAAGAUGAUCCAGUGGGAUUAGGACUGGUUGGGCUAGACGGCUCAUUUUUUUUUUUAUCAUAGAGGACAUUGUUUGUGAUCCUGUGUACAAAGAAAGGAGGACGCUUAAGAUAAUUGCAUAUCAGUGUUGUAGUGAUGUGAAGGUUGACAUGACUCCUUGUGUGUCUGUCCACACCCAGCCCCUGAUGUGCCAAACUGAUGAAAAAAAUCAUCAUUGCCUCUAGAUGUGCUUGCACAGUAUGUCUAAAUGGUUCAGUAUUAACUGUUUUUAUCGAUGUGGAUAUGCAGGGCAGGUACGUGAAGGUCAAUAUUUGCACCAUAUGAGUAUUUCAAAGGCAGCUGUAUGGUCCGUAUAGAUUUAUCAUACUUUUAAAUGUUAUUAAAUAAUUUUACUCAGCAGUGUUGUGAUGCCUGUCAUGUGAUAAUUCAAUGGCAUUUUAGACUAUUUUCUUAAAAAAAUAAAACUUUGUACAUAUUUUACUCUGUUUGUAAA
rnacentral:lncRNA from 1 species